GCGGAGCUCGAGCUGGAGUGGCCCGCGGCGCUGCGGACGCCGCCGAUCUGGGAUGCGAUGCGCCAGCGCCGGUACCUGCACCGGCGCGCCGUCC
rnacentral:tRNA from 1 species